rnacentral:lncRNA from 1 species
UUCAAUUCCUUUCUUUCGAAAAUUUUUAUUAUUUUUUCCUCAAUAUCUAGUUUGACACAUCUGGUUUAUGUUUAAUUUUUGCAUGUUUAUUAAUAAGAAUGAGUUUAUUGGUUUAGUGAUAAAACCUUAAUUUUUUUCUUUAAUAAGAUGAAGUUAAUAACUAAUCAGAUUAAUUGGGAUAUAAUCAGAUAUUAUUUUGUUAAAGUUUUUGAGAAUUAUCUCCUAAAAAUCCUCCUAGUGUCGUCCCCCUCACCCCCUCACUCUCCACCUUUUUGUUUGUUUCCUCUUCACUUUUGUUGCUGUAACCUCCUCUUUGUCGAAUUUUCUCUGCUUUCUCCUUCUUUCUUUUUCUUUUUUCUUCAUUUUUUCAUUGUUUACAUAAUUUUACGAUUAACGCUCUCUUCUUUUCCUCAUUUGUUGUCCCUGCUUAUGUGUUGCUGCUGUCUAGAUUUUGAUUCUUCCUAGUGUCAUCGGUAACCUUCUGGUUUUGGUGUUAGCCGUGUGUGAUCUGAAGUUUGGCGUAGUAUCUUAAUUUUUUUAAGUAAGUGCAAUCCGUUUGUGUUUUUUUAAGAAGGUUGUUUUCGGUUUUAAUUGAAAGAUUUGUUGGUUGAGGGUGGCUAAUUAGUGAUGGUCUAAUUAUUUGUAAUUCUGUUAGGUGAGGAUUGUGAGGAACACGCCCCUCUUGCAAAUUAAGUGCCUUGGAAACCACCGCUUCUAAGGGUAAGUAGCCGAAUGCCCAAGUUUAGGGGCUGGUUUGCGCUAAUAUUUUUGCAAGGGUCGAAUGUCUUAUUGGUCUUGGCCGAAUGCUCUAGGGAGCAACGGCCAAAUUUCUAUGCGGGUGAUUGCUUACUGGUUGAGUUUUGGAUGUUGUGUGCAGAACUCGGAUUGAUGCUGUUGUGUUGACAUCCCGAAAACAAUCUAGUGUGUCUAACUUGAAAACUUGUAAAUUCAUGCAAAACCGAAAGUGGGCAGUCACGACACAUGGGCGUGUACCUAGCCGUGUGGACCAUACGAGUGUGUGUCCUAGGAGUGUGAGCUAGACGGAUUGAUUAAGUAAGGUAUGUGGGCCACAAUGGCAUAUGAGCUUAUUUCAAAUAAUUUUUAGGGUCGUGUUUUGAGUCGAAUAAGUGAGUUUAAUAGUAUGCUAAAAUCUAUUAUGUAAACUACCAUAUGUAAAUUUUCUGAAAGCAUGCGAAAUCAUGAAAAGUUGUGUACUUGAUUGUAUGUUUGUGUGUAUGAGCAUGUCUUUAAUAAGUAACUUCGAAUAAGUUAUAUGCAUGCCUCCAAUCUAUUAAUUUGUAUGCUCUAUUGGCAUGUUUCCGAUCUAUUAGUUUAAGCAUAUCCAAAUAUCUGUUAAGUUGGUCGCAUGUGGAUUAGGGUGGGUUAUGAAUAUGAUAUGAAGAAAGUUUCUGUAAAUUAUGUUCUAUGAUUCUGGUGGGAUACUUGCAAAAUCUGAUUUUGGCAGUUAAACUGUAUUACUUGUUUCUAGUGGCUUUCCUGCAUUAUAUCUUGCAGCUUGUCUGCAUAAUAUUUCAGUGGUGCAUGACCACUAAUUCUGUAUGACAUUGUAGUGCUAAGCAUGCCUUGUAUUUGAUUUUCUGCUUUGAUAUGUUAAACUCGUGUAUUAAUUGACUAUCUGUUAUGUUGGUGGGCCUUAACACACAUUGGGCUUUUAGCUCACCCUACUAUUUUAUCUUCUCAGGUAAUCCUCAAAAUUAGGAUUGCGCGGCGUUCAAGAACUCUAAUUCAAUUUCUUGUAAACAAAAUGAUUUUAAAGGUUUUUCUUUAUUUAUUUAAAAUAUGAAUUUUUGGACUGUCCGGUAAUUUUAUGGACUGGUUAGUAAAUAACGAAUGUUUUAGAGGACUCUCGCUUAACAACAAUAAUUUUUUUCAAAAUAAGAUAAUAAAACGAAUUUUGCAAAAUUAUUCAUACAUGAACAAAUGAUGUUUUAUAAAGAAAAUAAAUAAUUUAUCAGGUGGUCGGUAUAACCUUCAAGAUUCAGUCAUAACAUCUAGACCGAAUUUGAGGUGUUACAGAUUGUGCUGAUUGACUAGGCUACCAUACUAAGCUUAUAAUUAUACAGUUAGUUCGCAUAUGAAGAUGCACCUUUUGGAGAGAGUGUUGCGUUAAAUUGCAUGAUUAUUUCUUUGUUAUUUUUUAUUUGGAAUUUCGCACUCAAUAGGUAGACUUUUCUUGUGAGAGAUUAAAUCUUUAUAAGUGAGGUUGUAACAAGUUGUGAUUAACUAUUAAAAUUGAGACUACAAUUACUUAUUUAUAUAAUGGUAAAUUAGACUUUAACCAAUAAAUAAUUUGAACAAUUAUGUAACAAAACAAUUCACUAAACGCGAGUUUAAACACAAUUUUUUACUGACUAGUUUUCUCAAUUUAACCAAAUCAAAAUUCGUAAUUUUCAUUAAUUUCAUGCGUAUUAACUUCAUGCUAUGUGAAAAGUAGACAGACGGUGGAAGGCUGUACAGUACAUUAAUGCAAUCCACAUGUGUAUUUAAUGCCAUUAACUUGCAAAAAAAAAAAAAAAGGUUCACUUUCCUUAAAUACCUAACUACCACGUGAACAGCCAUGAAAGUUAGG